rnacentral:tRNA from 1 species
GCUGAUGUGGCUCAGCGGUAGAGCGUCUCCUUGGUAAGGAGAAGAUCGCGGGUUCAAAUCCCGCCAUCAGCU